rnacentral:rRNA from 1 species
ACGGAGGUUUCCCGCCUUAAUCGGAACCACUGGGCGUAAAGCGCACGCAGGCGGUAUGUUAAGUCAGAUGUGAAAUCCCCGGGCUCAACCUGGGAACUGCAUCUGAUACUGGCAAGCUUGAGUCUCGUAGAGGGGGGUAGAAUUCCAGGUGUAGCGGUGAAAUGCGUAGAGAUCUGGAGGAAUACCGGUGGCGAAGGCGGCCCCCUGGACGAAGACUGACGCUCAGGUGCGAAAGCGUGGGGAGCAAACAG